UACGUAGGGUGCAAGCGUUGCCCGGAAUUAUUGGGCGUAAAGAGCUCGUAGGCGGUUCGUCGCGUCGGCUGUGAAAACCUGAGGCUCAACCUCAGGCCUGCAGUCGAUACGGGCGGACUUGAGUACUGCAGGGGAGACUGGAACUCCUGGUGUAGCGGUGAAAUGCGCAGAUAUCAGGAGGAACACCGGUGGCGAAGGCGGGUCUCUGGGCAGUAACUGACGCUGAGGAGCGAAAGCGUGGGGAGCGAACAGG
rnacentral:rRNA from 1 species